rnacentral:rRNA from 1 species
AUUGAACGCUGGCGGCAGGCCUAACACAUGCAAGUCGAGCGAGCGGCGGACGGGUGAGUAAUGUAUGGGGAUCUGCCCGCUAGAGGGGGAUAACUACUGGAAACGGUAGCUAAUACCGCAUACCAUCAGAUGUGCCCAGAUGGGAUUAGCUAGUCGGUGGGGUAAUGGCUCACCUAGGCGACGAUCCCUAGCUGGUCUGAGAGGAUGACCAGCCACCGUGGCACUGAGACACGGUCCCGACUCCUGCGUGAGGCAGCAGUGGGGAAUAUUGCACAAUGGGCGCAAGCCUGAUGCAUCCAUGCCGCGUGUGUUAAGAAGGCCUGUGGGUUGUAAAGCACUUUCAGCGAGGAGGCGUUACUCGCAGAAGAAGCACCGGCUAACUCCGUGCCAGCAGCCGCGGUAAUAC